rnacentral:rRNA from 1 species
GGGAACCGAGUAGAGUGGCGCACGGGUGAGUAACACGUGGAUAAUUUGCCUUCGGGUGGGGAAUAACGUCUCGAAAGAGACGCUAAUACCGCAUAAUGCAGCGGCAUCUAUGAUGACAGUUGUUAAAGCGGGGGAUCGCAAGACCUCGCGCCUGAAGAGAAGUCCGCGGCAGAUUAGCUAGUUGGUAGGGUAAUGGCCUACCAAGGCAACGAUCUGUAGCCGGCCUGAGAGGGCGGUCGGCCACACUGACACUGACAUACGGGUCAGACUCCUACGGGAGGCAGCAGUCGGGAAUUUUGGGCAAUGGGCGAAAGCCUGACCCAGCAACGCCGCGUGAAGGAUGAAGUUUUUCGGAAUGUAAACUUCACAAGAAUGGGAAGAAUAAGUUGAAGCUAACACCUUCGACGAUGACGGUACCAUUUGUAAGCUCCGGCUAACUCCGUGCCAGCAGCCGCGGUAAUACGGGGGGAGCAAGCGUUGUUCGGAUUUACUGGGCGUAAAGGGCGCGUAGGCGGCGCAACAAGUCACUUGUGAAAUCUCCGGGCUCAACUCGGAACGGUCAAGUGAUACUGUCGUGCUAGAGUGCGGAAGGGGCAACUGGAAUUCUCGGUGUAGCGGUGAAAUGCGUAGAUAUCGAGAGGAACACCUGCGGCGAAGGCGGGUUGCUGGGCCGACACUGACGCUGAAGCGCGAAAGCU